rnacentral:rRNA from 1 species
GAGUUUGAUCGUGGCUCAGGACGAACGCUGGCGGCGUGCCUAACACAUGCAAGUCGAACGGAGUUGCACUUAGUGCUUGCACCGAGAGCAACUUAGUGGCGGACGGGUGAGUAACGCGUGAGCAACCUGCCUUUCAGAGGGGGAUAACAACGGGAAACCGUUGCUAAUACCGCAUAAAACCGGAUGAUGGCAUCAUUGAUCGGUCAAAGGAGCAAUCCGCUGAAAGAUGGGCUCGCGUCCCCAUUAGGUAGUUGGUGGGUAACGGCCUACCAAGCCGACGAUGGGUAGCCGGACUGAGAGGUCGAACGGCCACAUUGGAACUGAGACACGGUCCAAACUCCUACGGGAGGCAGCAGUGGGGAAUAUUGCACAAUGGGGGAAACCCUGAUGCAGCGACGCCGCGUGAAGGAAGAAGUAUCUCGGUAUGUAAACUUCUAUCAGCAGGGAAGAAAA